rnacentral:ncRNA from 1 species
CAUCUUCGGGGCAGGGUGAAAUUCCCGACCGGCGGUAUUGAAGACAUGAUCUUCUCAGCCCGUGAGCGAGCAAGGCGUUGCUUGCUGAUUUCGUGAGAUUCGAAAGCCGACAGUAAAGUCUGGAUGGGAGAAGAUG